UGUCCUGUCUCAUGUUUAAGUCUUUAAGCCAUUUUGAGUUUACUUUCGUGUGUGGUGUGAGGGAGUGUUCUAACUUCACUGAUUGACAUGCGGCUGUCUAGUUAUCCCAAAACAACUUAUUGAAGAGACUGUCUUUUUCUCAAUUGUAUAUUCUUGCCUCCUUUGUUGAAGAUUAACUGACUGUAGAUGUGUGUGUUUAUUUCUGGGCUCUCUAUUGUGUUCCACUGAUCCAUGUCUGUUUUUGUGCCAAUACCAUGCCAUUUUGAUUACUACAGUUUUGUAGUCUUGUCUGAAGUCUGGGAGGGUUAUGCCUCCAGCUUUGCUCUUUUUCUUCAGUAUUGCUUUGGCAAUUCUGGGUUUUUUUGUGAUUCCAUAUAAACUUUAGGAUUAUUUGUUCUAGUUCUGUGAAAGUGUUUUGGACAUAACAACUAUUCUCUGCUCAAGUAGUAUCUAACUUAAAUUCUAUCAAUGCUAUGUCUAAUUUCCCCUUUCUUCAUUGUAGAGACCUAUGCCUGGUAUCUGUAAGGAAAGGAGAAGGUAAGUUAAAUCUUCUAUCAUUUGCAAAUGUCAGCACACUUCCUGGGACCAACUCCUAGUGAAAUGAAGUGACUAGAUAUUUUGCAGAAAAAAAUUUGGACAUUUGGGAUUUUUAUAAAUUGUUUUCUGAAUCUGUUUUACCACUUAAAAUAUAGGAUUUAUAGUGUGUCACCCACCACCCAAACUUCCGAAAAAUCUUACGUUGCUUGAGUAAAAACUGAUGACUAUUUUGAUUGUUGAUUAUUCCAGUCAACCUCCCAGACAUCAACAGCAAUAAAGUCCUUCUCAGAUUUAGCAAUGAGCUUGUGUAGGAUUAUAAAUAAUUAGGACUUUUCCCUAUUUCAUGUUUCCCCCAAAUUUUAUUGCUGAAGUAACUUUUCCUAGGGGCCCCCAAGCAGAAGGAAGAACGGGGUGCUGGCAGGAGGACCCCUGAUGGGGCAAGGACGGACCCUUCCAGAGGAGUUCCCUGACUGCCAGGAAUUUCAGCAAAGGCAGCAAUGGACUAAUUUUUUGUCGACAUACUUGGUGUAGUCCGUAGGAUAUCAGAGACCCCCACCAGAGGACACCUGGAGUCUACCUGGAACUGGCACUCCGUACCAGCACGGCCCCCCUGUGCCCCGUCGGCUUCUCGAACACUCCUGUGGUGUGCCGAAAACUACUGUUGUACUCUGAUGCUUUUGCAAGAAUGGUUCACCUUUAAGAAGAUUCACAGAAAG